AGAGAGAGAUAGAGAGAGAGAGAUUUACAGAAAAUCUUAGAAUUAAAAUUCUGAAUUGAAAAAUACAAGAUGAUGCAUAAAUUGACUGUCGAUGUCCUGCUUAUGGUAGUUAGGACAAAUCCUAAUCUUAGACUGAAAAUUAUUCCUAAUUAAUUAAGUAAAUUCUUCACUAAAUAGGAAUCCUGAAUGAAGAAGGUAAACUGAAAAGCAAUAAAAAAC
rnacentral:misc_RNA from 1 species